GACCCAGAGAGGAUGUGACAUUUUCACCUACUGAUUAUCAGGGUUGAUUUGGUUGAUCUGGCUGGUUACAUUGGUAUCCCCUCCCUCCCUCAACUUCCUAUCCGUUCCUUCUGAAGUUUGGAGCUGAGGUGACUAGAACCACCAUCUCUGAUAGAGGAGGACUGUUGUUUGCUCAAAGGAAUUUAAGUAGCUGCGCUCCCCUCUAAAUACUCUCAAGACCCAGAGAAACAUGUUUCCCUCUCUCCUGUCUUUCCCUCAAUCUAUUCUUGGAUGAUACCUUGUCUUCCAGGUUU
rnacentral:snRNA from 1 species